rnacentral:ncRNA from 1 species
UCGGAAUAGCGCCAGAGCAGUAUACCACUGCUGACGAGGAGGACAGUUAUCGAAAUUUCGGCGGAUACUGUCCCGGAUACUAAAGUAUUCGUUAGUUUAUCUGUUAAAACUAUCGAGUGAUCGAUCUGACAGAGCAGAUAU